CUCAUCUCUGCCAGUACUUCAACCCCGGUUCUCCACACAAUCUCUGCUAGAUUGUCGUUGCUACUGACCUGGUUCACUCACCUUCCUCUCCCGUUGUGUCAGCUGGGCUCGCCAACCUGCCCUCUCCCCUCGGACCUCCUCCAAGGCAUCCUCCCGGCUCACCCUCGUGCCUCAUGAUCAGCCUGUCACCACACUCCUCCACCAACCCCCUGGUCAGUUCUCCCGUGCCUCCUCUCUCCCUCGGCCCCGGUGCCUCCCAGUUUCCUCGUCCCAUCCUCCUUGGUCCCGCCUGCUCCUCGGCUCCCUUGCCUCGGCCCCCUCUGCCCUACUUGCUGCUCGUUCCCCCGGCAUUCACCUCUCCCUCGCCUCCCUUUUUCCCCUCAAUAAAACCUGUUUCACCGGAG